CUACGGGCGGCUGCAGUGGGGAAUCUUGCGCAAUGGGCGAAAGCCUGACGCAGCAACGCCGCGUGCGGGAUGAAGGCCUUCGGGCUGUAAACCGCUUUCAACAGGAACGAAAAUGACGGUACCUGCAGAAGAAGGAGCGGCCAACUACGUGCCAGCAGCCGCGGUGACACGUAGGCUCCAAGCGUUGUCCGGAUUUAUUGGGCGUAAAGAGCUCGUAGGCGGUUGAGUAAGUCGGGUGUGAAAACUCUGGGCUUAACCCGGAGACGCCAUCCGAUACUGCUCUGACUAGAGUUCAGGAGGGGAGUGGGGAAUUCCUAGUGUAGCGGUGAUAUGCGCGGAUAUUAGGAGGAACACCGGUGGCGAAGGCGCCACUCUGGACUGAAACUGACGCUGAGGAGCGAAAGCAUGGGUAGCAAACAGGAUUAGAUACCCCAGUAGUC
rnacentral:rRNA from 1 species